CCAAAGCCUCUGGUUUUCUUCCCUCAGGACUCUGUCCUCAUUGUAGAGCUGAGGUGUGGCUGUUGUCGUUGUAGAGCUGAGGUGUGGACUCCAGGCCCGGACUGGAGAAGGUCAAGGGGGAUCCUGACUCAGAGCAUGCAAGAAGGCAGGUUACACAGGAGCAAGUGGAGGAAAGCAGACCUCAGUGCUCUGCCAUCUGUGAAGCUCAGCCUAAGGGUGACCUUCAGGAGCCCCCUCACUGUGACCAGGAGUGGGAAGCCCUGGGCCUCUCCUUCCUGUUCAGGAGGCAGUGGAGCUGAGCCUGUGUUGCAGCUGCUCCCUCAGGUGGUCAUUACAAAUGGUGGAGUCCUCCAGGUGCUGGCUAAGGUUCCGGAUUUCACCAAGAUGCUCCUGUGGCAGUGCCCCUUGAAUGGAUGUUCUUUAGCAAGAGACAAGCCCUUCCUUCACCCUUUGAGAGAAGACCUAAGGUAAAGGCUAGUCCGUUAUGUCAGCUCAUCCUAUGUGGUUAAUGAUUGGUACUGAAUGCUCCCCUCAAAUUUCUUUUAAUAUGGCAGGAAGAAAGGAUAGUCUAUACUGAUUCAGGCAUCUGAAGGCUGAGGAGAGGGGAGAAAAAAAAGAUUCAGAAAUGAUCAGUGGGAGGGAUGCUAAUGACAGACCACAGCCAGAUGCCUCAUUUUGCUUUGGAUGCAGCCUUGUCCUGAAAAUCACAGUUCUUUUCCUGCUGGACCUGAGCUGCUUCCCAGCGUUACCUGUAGAAUCAUCUUGCUCCAGGUGGGAAGAUGACCUGACUAGGAGAGCUAGGAGGGAGAGGAGGAGUGUGAACUGGGAUUUAUUUGUGGGUGGGGAGGUGUGUAGAAACAGCCCCCCUUUCUGUCACAACUCCUGACUGAUGGAGGAAUGUUCUGUGAAGGCCGGUGCCUGGCAUUCUGGAAGGUCUGAGAGGGAGCAGUGAGGGGAUCAGGAUGUGGGGAGAGAGAGGCCGUGAAAGUGAGAGCACAGAGGUGGCCCCUGACUUUCUCACACCUCCCACUCUGCACCAAAGGCCUGGGCAGGGAGCAUGAAGGAUGCACUUCGAAAGGACUAAGCACUGAUGGGGCCUGUUCAUUUUAUCUCCUGUCUGUGAGCCAGAGACUAUGGGAGAAAUGAAAAAUGCCACCUAGGUAGGCAAAGGGUGGAUCCUACCUGAGAUUUCAUUGAACAAUCUGACCCUUCUGGGCUUUGUGUUUUACCUGUGGGUUUGGAGUUGAGCUGAUACAUGGAGAAACAUGAGGACAUUUAUGCUCCCUUUCUGAGGUCUCAUCAGGUCCCACUGGCCACUGCUACCCAGGUGUCCAGGCUCCAGUAUUCCACCCAGUUCUAUGGUGCCCCCUUGGAGGAGACAGGGGCUGGGCAGGUUUGAGGUAGUGGGAAGAGGUGGCUUCUAAGUGGCUGUUUGGCAGCGUAGCUGGGGAAGCAGUAGGAACAGUGCUUG
rnacentral:lncRNA from 1 species